rnacentral:rRNA from 1 species
AACGAACGCUGGCGGCAGGCUUAACACAUGCAAGUCGAGCGCCUCGCAAGAGGAGCGGCAGACGGGUGAGUAACACGUGGGAACGUACCCUUUACUACGGAACAACUCCGGGAAACUGGAGCUAAUACCGUAUGUGCCCUUCGGGGGAAAGAUUUAUCGGUAAAGGAUCGGCCCGCGUUGGAUUAGCUAGUUGGUGGGGUAAAGGCCUACCAAGGCGACGAUCCAUAGCUGGUCUGAGAGGAUGAUCAGCCACAUUGGGACUGAGACACGGCCCAAACUCCUACGGGAGGCAGCAGUGGGGAAUAUUGGACAAUGGGCGCAAGCCUGAUCCAGCCAUGCCGCGUGAGUGAUGAAGGCCUUAGGGUUGUAAAGCUCUUUCACCGAUGAAGAUAAUGACGGUAGUCGGAGAAGAAGCCCCGGCUAACUUCGUGCCAGCCGCCGCCGUAAAAC